UACAGGGAGGGAUGCAAGCGUUGUUCGGAAUUACUGGGCGUAAAGGGCUCGUAGGCGGCCAACUAAGUCGGACGUGAAAUCCCCAGGCUCAACCUGGGAACUGCGUCCGAUACUGGAUGGCUUGAAUCCGGGAGAGGGAUGCAGAAUUCCAGGUGUAGCGGUGAAAUGCGUAGAUAUCUGGAGGAAUACCGGUGGCGAAGGCGGCAUCCUGGACCGGCAUUGACGCUGAGGAGCGAAAGCCAGGGGAGCAAACGGG
rnacentral:rRNA from 1 species